UUUAGGUUUAAUAUUAAGAUUUAAAACUAAAUGAUUUAGUUUUAGGAAUAAUGAUGUAAUUAGUAUAUUAAUUUGUUUGUUGAAAUAUAAUUAUAUAAUUUAUUUUAAGGAACUAGGCAAUUUUAAUUUCCGCCUGUUUAUCAAAAACAUGUCCUCUUGAAGUAUAUUUUGAGGUCUGACCUGCUCACUGAUAAAUUUUAAAUAGCCGCGGUAUUAUGACCGUGCAAAGGUAGCAUAAUCAUUAGUCUUUUAAUUAAGGUCUGGAAUGAAUGGUUUGACGAGAAAUUAACUGUCUCUAAAUAAUUUAUAAAAUUUAACUUUUAAGUUAAAAGGCUUAAAUUAAUCUUAAGGACGAGAAGACCCUAUAGAGCUUGACAUUUUAUUUUUAUAUAAUUUUUAGAAUAUUUUUUUAUAUUUAUUUUUGAUGUUUUGUUGGGGUGACAUAAAGAAUUAAAAAACUUUUUAUUAUUAAAUCAUUAAUUUAUGUUUUGUUGAUCCAUAAUUUAUGAUCAUAAGAUUAAGUUACCUUAGGGAUAACAGCGUAAUUAUUUUUAAGAGUUCAUAUCUACAAAAUAGAUUGCGACCUCGAUGUUGGAUUAAGAAAAAUUUUAGGUGUAGAAGUUUAAAAAUUAGGUCUGUUCGACCUUUAAAUUCUUACAUGAUCUGAGUUCAGACCGGCGUGAGCCAGGUCGGUUUCUAUCCUAAGUUAAUUUAUUUAAAUUAGUACGAAAGGACCAUUUAAAUGAAAUAUUUUUUUAUUUAUGAUUAAAAUUAAUUAUU
rnacentral:rRNA from 1 species